rnacentral:rRNA from 1 species
AUUGAACGCUGGCGGCAGGCCUAACACAUGCAAGUCGAGCGAGCGGCGGACGGGUGAGUAAUGCCUGGGAAUUGCCCAGUCGAGGGGUAUAACAGUAGGAAACGACUGCUAAUACCGCAUACGAUUGGAAUGCCCAGGUGGGAUUAGCUAGUUGGUGAGGUGAUGGCUCACCAAGGCGACGAUCCCUAGCUGGUCUGAGAGGAUGAUCAGCCAUACUGUAACUGAGGCGCGGUCCAGACUCAUACGGGAGGCAGCAGUGGGGAAUAUUGCACAAUGGGGGAACUCGUGAUGCAGCCAUGCCGCGGGUUUGAAGAAGGCCUUCGGGUUGUAAAGCACUUUCAGCGAGGAGGCGUUACUCGCAGAAGAAGCACCGGCUAACUCCGUGCCAGCAGCCGCGGUAAUUC